GGACAAGGCGUAGGCGUGAACAUUACUUCCGGUCCACUUUCUUACCGGUAUCGCCUUUACCAGAUUAAGCUCCACUUUGGGAGGGAAAACCAAUCCGGCUCCGAACAUACAGUUGACGGGCGCGGAUAUGAUGGAGAGCUUCACUUCAUGGCGUACAAUACCGAAUUAUAUGCAAAUUACACUGAGGCCCAAACGAGCCCUAGAGGAAUAGCAAUAGUGGCGGUAUUCUUAACGAUAGGAAAGUUCGACCAUUCCGCAUUUAAGAUCUUACAGGAAAGGUUUUUCGUAAUUGACAAACAAG